AUUGUCUAAUUUGGAUGCCUCAUAAAACAGAGCCAGGACAAAGAUCUGGUGCAGGUGUUCCACAAAGAAGGCGAACUCAGGAAGCAGGUCAGAGGGAGCAGGUAGAGGCAGCUCAGGAAGGGAAAGAGCAAAUGGGGGAGGGGUUUAUAGCUAAGUGCUGUCGGCCUCUGGGGCUUAAUCCUCCUUGGGCCUGUCCAGGAACUUUGGAAUGUACUCCAGAAUUAUUUCUCCUAAAGACAGGGGAGGAUUUAUCUGUUUCGUUCCCUUUGUGGAGGUUUGCCUCUGCCUCUCUCACUUCCUAGUUGCUCUGAACACAGGUGGAACCAGCUGAAGAGGCUUAGGAAGUCUGGAGCGGCUAAGCACAGGGUUGUGGUGAGUGCCUGAGCAGGGCAUUUUCAGCUUGUUUGAAGAACUGUCUGCGGUAGCUGCAGAUGAAAUGAAACCUGGAUCUCUGGUAGAGAGACCUUCUCUAGGUUCUGACCAAGAUCACAGUGAAAAGCCAGGUGCUGUCUGCAGUUCCAGUUCACUCCAGUCACCAGUCCUAGAUCAGGGCUCUGGCAGCACGACUUCUCCUUGCUGACUUUAUAGUGCUGGUUGCAGUGACUUUGCAACCUUAGACCCUCUGGGUCAUCUGGAGUCCUGGCCCAGUGGGAGGACAUGGGAUCACCAAGGAACCUCUUCAAUGAACCUUUCAAAGGAAAUUGACAAAAUGCCAGAGAUGUAGUCUUGGAGUCUUACUACAUUACCCAGGCUUGUCUUGAAUUACUGGCCUCAAGUGAUCCUCCCACUUUGGCCUUCUAAAGCAAUGGGAUUACAGUCAGGCCCUUCUUCAGUAGGGCUGCUGCAGUUUGCUGGGGUGAACUCCAGACCUGAAUUUCCUGGGUCUCUCCUGCACCCGGAGAUGUCACCAGUGGAGGCUGCAGAAGAGAAAAGAUGACUGCCUCUUCUUCUGGGAUCUCUGUCCCACAGGGACUCUGACCUGGUGCUGGUGGAAAUGCUUCUAUACAAGGUCACGCCAAAUGCCUAGUCAACCCUAAUGAGAGAACCUAGAUACCUCACCUGCCGAUGCAGCAUUCACUUGCCAUUUUCUUUCUUCUUGGUGGGCGUUUCCGACCAUAGCUGUUUCUAGUUGGCCAUCUUGGCACCCCACCUCUUAAUACUGUCACAAUUACAAUAGAAUUUGAACAUGAGUCUUGAUACGAAUAUUCAAACCAUAACAUCCAGUCUACUGAAGAGGCCAUUAAAGUCACUGACCAUUUGGAAGACCAAGGCGGGAAGAUUACUUGAGGUCAGGAGUUCGAGGCCAGCCUGGCCAACAUGGUGAAACCCUGUCUCUACCAAAAAUACAACACUUAGCCAGGUGUGUUGGCACAUGCCUGUAGUCACAACUACUCGGGAGGCUGAGGCAGGAGAAUCGCUUGAACCCAGAAGGCGGAGGUUGCAGUGAGCAGAGAUGGUGCCACUGCACAACAGCCUUUUUAGACUCUGUCUCAAAAAAAGAAAAAAGAAAAAAGUUACUUAUCAUGAUAGUUCAAGAUGAUGCUUUGUCUUGGAUACUUUUACACAUGUAAAGUCAAAUGAGAGAAUUUAAGUUAUUUGGGGAAUUAUUUUAAAAGCCAUAUUGUUCCCCUUAUCAAAUACUCCUAAAACCUACUAAAACCUAAGUGCCACUUUCUUAGAUUUUCCAGAACACUCUAAGCAUUUAUAACAGUAGUUAGUACAACGUUCUGUAAAUAUUGGUUUAGGGGUUAGUCUCUUCAGUUUAGUAACAUUUCAUUAACCACCAUGAAUGGCAUAGUGUAUAUUUUUCAUUUGUAUUCCAC
rnacentral:lncRNA from 1 species